GAAAUGCGAUAAGUAAUGUGAAUUGCAGAAUUCAGUGAAUCAUCGAAUCUUUGAACGCAUAUUGCGCUCUCUGGCAUUCCGGAGAGCAUGCCUGUUUGAGUAUCAUUAAACAACAUCAAGCAAACACCCUUGUGAAGAGGGUGGCGUUUGGACGUGAGCUUUCCCAGCGACAACGCGUGAGCGGGGUCCGACUGGGUUGCUUUAAAUGCAGUGAUUGCAGGCUUUGUUCAGCUUACGGCGUGAUAUUUUAUCCUCGCGGAUAAUCCCCUCGCCCAAACAACUGUUCAAAGCGUUGGCGAUCUAGCAGGAAACCCAUGGUGCAGCAAGUCAAUGCUGUGCCUGGAACUUGAUCUCAAAUCAGGUAGGAAUACCCGCUGAACUUAA
rnacentral:misc_RNA from 1 species